rnacentral:rRNA from 1 species
CCAAUAGCGUAUAUUAAAGUUGUUGCCGUUAAAAAGCUCGUAGUUGAAUUUCGGAAUUUUUUUAUCGGUUGAACCAACAGGUUCGUACUGAUUUUAAGAAUUUCUACCUUCUGGAGAACCUUAAUGUCAUUUAUUUGAUGUUUUGGGAAACCAGGACUGUUACCUUGAAAAAAUUAGAGUGUUUAAAGCAGGCUUACGUCUGAAUAUAUUAGCAUGGAAUAAUGAAAUAGGACGGCAUGGUUCUAUUUUGUUGGUUUCUAGGAUCACCGUAAUGAUUAAUAGGGAUAGUUGGGGGCAUUAGUAUUCAAUUGUCAGAGGUGAAAUUCUUGGAUUUAUUGAAGACUAACUUCUGCGAAAGCAUUUGCCAAGGAUGUUUUCAUUAAUCAAGAACGAAAGUUAGGGGAUCGAAGACGAUCAGAUACCGUCGUAGUCUUAACCAUAAACUAUGCCGACUAGGAAUCGGACGAAGUUAAUUUUUUAAUGACUCGUUCGGCGCCUUACG